rnacentral:lncRNA from 1 species
CAACAUUUUCUGUCUGCUCCUGUCAAGUUAUACAUGUAUGUGAGGAUCCUUCUAUGUAGUAAGUUCAUAGUCGAGAAGUCAGGGACUUCGUAAAGAACGUGAACACCGAAAAACCAUUAAAAAACCUAAACCAUUUGUUAGGGGAGUUCAAGAAGUUCAUGGCUAGCUCUCUGUGUUCUGUAUUCUUAUUAGUUCAUAAUCUAGAAUACAUGUAUUCUUAUCAGUUUGUUUAUCUAGCCCGUCGUGCUGUGUAUUCUGGUUAGUACGUGUGUGUAUGUGUUUCCCUUGCAGUGUAUGAGAGGCCGCCCGUGAGGAAGUUGCCAAUCUGGUCGAGGCAUGCUGCUAUUCUCUAUAUCCGGUAGCACAAACAUUUAAAAGUUUGAACACCAAACCCUGGUAAGUUCUUCUUAACAAAAACCCAUUCCUCAUAUUUGUUCCUUUUUUCGUAGGUUGAAGUUAAAACAAGAUGGAGAUGUGUGUAUGUAUACAUGUGUUU